rnacentral:lncRNA from 1 species
GGGAUUAAAGGCGUGCGCUACCACGCCCGGCUUCUUUCACUUUUCUUAACCUGCCCUAGACCUUAGGGGCAACCAAGACCCCUUACAUCCAGCAAUAUGAUUUGGUAAUGAUAGUUCUUGGUUUUAGUCUGCCAUUUCCAUUUGCCCUGUCUUCCCAGUAUCCUCCCACCAUGCACACUAAAUGGACCAGCACUUCUAUCCCUGAGGACCAGGUAUUCAGUGGGCACCUGGGUUUAUCUAUAUUUAUAUAAUAUAUAUUAGAUUGAGUCUAUUCUGCCUUUCCACUUUCUCUCUUUCUCUCAGAUGGUAGGAAGGUAGAGAAAAUAGCCUGUGAUAAUUGUAACACCUAUUCUGGGUGUCCUAAUAAGAUGUUCUACUCUUGUUGCUAGAGAGAUCUCACUGGUUUUCCUUCUUUUACUAGUGCUGACCCAGAGAAAGUAGUUAGUGUGUUUGAUUCCCCACUGCUCAAUAGUGGAUAUCUAGUUAUCAGAAGAUAAGACUUAGUGAUGCUUUGCACAAAGUAUAAAUAUAAUCAAGACCCUUAUAACAUUUCUAAUGACUGAGCUUUGGGGUUUUGUUUUGUUUUUUAAGACUUGUUUAUUUAUUGAUUUAUGUAUGUGAGUACACUGUGGCUGUACAGAUGGUUGUGAGCCUUCAUGUGGUGGUUGGGAAUUGAAUUUAGGACCUCUGCUGGCUACAGUUAGCCUCGCUCGCUCGCUCUGGUCGGCCCUGCUCACUUUCUGCUCUCUGCUUGCUCUGGCCCAAGGAUUUAUUUAUUAUUAUAAAUAAGUACACUGUUGCUGUGUUCAGACACACCAGAAGAGGGCAUCAGAUCUCAUUAUGGGUGGUUGUGAGCCACCAUGUGGAUGCUGGGAUUUGAACUCAGGACCUUUGGAAGAGCAGUCAGUACUCUUACCCGCUGAGCCAUCUCACCAGCCCUGGGUUUUGUUUUUAAAAAUACAUUAAAAAAAUAUGUUGUUUUACGUUAGAUGCCUCUGCAUGAUUAAGCUGCUGUUUAACCUAGUGGGAAGAACAAAACUAAAUGACAGUUACUGAGACUGUCAUGGAGAGAAGUUUGGUCCCUGGGAAUAAUGUGGGUUUUAAUGUCUGCUCCUUUCUCUUCAAAUAAACCCUCCUACACGUCCAGUCUCUGGCCCUGGGAGGGGCAGACAAUAGGGAUUGUUCAAGUCAGGCUUUCUGGGUGUGGGCUUGUGGAACUUCCUCUGAAGGCUGACUCAAGAGUUUUCUUCCCUUGUGGAGCUGUUCCUGUUCUUACAUGCUGUGCUAAUUGACAGCCUUGGAACUGUGGGCAGCAUCAUUUGGAUGUGUUAAGUUGGGAAUGAGGAAGGUAGACUAUUUUCAGAGAUCCUUGAUUGAAAGGUUCCUUUCUCUGGGUAAAACUGGUAUCCCUAGAACCUGUAUUCUUUCUUUUUGAUGAUACCCAUCCUACUGAAUGACAAUUGUUUACUUUUUUGUGCUCUGCAAGAGUCUGUGCGUGUUGAGAGCUGGGAUGGCAUAUCAUUCAUCUUUGUGUUCAUGGUUAGCAAGAAUUCAUAAAUGUAUGCCAAAAAGCUGCAUGUUGUAUCACACAUCUUUAAUUCCAGCACUUGGAAAGUAGAAUCAAGCCAGCUAGCGAUAUAUGGCGAGAUCUUGUCUAAAAAAACAAACAAGUGAGUUGGAUGGUGCUUGUGCAUGCCUUUAAUCCCAGCACUGGGAGGCAGAGGCAGGUCCAUCUCUGAGUUCUCUGAGAUCUGGUCUACAGAGCAAGUUCCUGGUCUGCCCUUGUAAUCCUGAACUUUGGAGGUAGAGGCAGAAAGAUUGGGAGUUCAAGGUUAUUCUUAGCUAUAAUAAGUUUGAGGCCAGUCUGAGAUAUAGUGAGAUCUUGUUUCAAAAAACAAACCAACAAUUGAAUGACUAAAUAAAUGUCGAAUUGAAUAAUGGAGGGAUGCUUUAUGUGUGUGGACAGCAGGCAGGUAAAUGUGUAUACCAAAAUAAGAGAUAUUAGGAGAAAGGGGAGAUAAGGCAUUUGGAGGGAGAAGGCAUUUUGUUUGUUUGUUAGGUGGGAUGAGUUUUUUGAGAAUCCAUUGUGCGGUUCUGUUUUCAUGGAAGACCUGUAGUAGUUGACGAGUGCUCCCUCCCUGUAGCUUGGCUUUAGUGACUGUGACCUUCUUUGUAGUGUAGCUGAUGACCUUGGAUAAGGCUUCUUGUGACUUUGACCUUUGUAGCAUGGACAAAACGUAAUUCUUCUCAACAGAGAAUAGCCUUCAGGAGAGGGAGGGGCCAGUAGUAUGUCUGGUUGGGGGAAAGCCAACUCUGUACCCUUGUAGCUAGGCACUGGGGAAAGACAGCUAUCAUUACAAUGAUUACUUUUGGCAGACAAGACAUUUUCAGUCAGCUUCUCUGGCUUGUACCACACACCCAGUUACAGCAAGACAAGUAUUGGGGUCACCUGUCGCUGUUGGCAAAUGUUCUUUGUGUCUCUGUAGGUAUUUUGCAAGCAUUACUUUUGGGUUCUUUUCCUUUUGUUCAUCAGCAAAAAUUAGGAUAUUUGUGGAAUGUGGUUCUGGUUGGCAUUAGAGCAUCAGGGUGCUUUCUUUUGCCCAUAACAAGAUGGCUUGAUUCAAGAGCAGCUAGGUUUUGUCCCUGUGUUCCAGAUGGGUGCAGCCCAGAGGAACAGUCAGCGUUCCCUGAGCUUGGUUUGGACCCCGAUGAGCAGAUCUCCUGUCUCUAUGAGGAUGUAAUGUGGUGUGGUUCUUCCCCUUCCUUCGGAAAGACAUGGAUUUUUUUUCUAUUUCCUGUCGAUAGCAUAUUUUGUUGUAUACCAGGAGACACUUGGUGACUAUAAAUCAGUUGGGCCUUGGGUGGGAAGGAAGGAGGUUGCUUUUGUUUUCAGCAGAAGUUUUCAUUUGAGGAAUU